AAAACAUCAAUGAAUGUAAUGUGGGGAAAAAAAGGACUGGAUUGGUUGAAAUAUUGAGGAGCACAAAAUGUUAUAUUUAAUUUAAAAAGUAAAGGAAAACAGAGCUCUGAAGUAUAUGUGUUUCAUCCUUUUCCUAUUUUCAAGUCUUCCACACUCCCAGACUGCUUGGUCACAUCCAGUAUUAAAGUGUUUUAAACAUCCAUCCCUAAAAAGGUCUUCAAAAUUAGGUGCAAGGUAUUGAGAUUUUGCUCUCAGAGUGCACCAGAUUAAUGCAUGUUCAAGAUCUUUGCCUCGGGGGGGGGGCGGACCCCGCCCCCAGGCCUUUGUCCCCCCCAAUUUUGAAACCAUGGCUACACCUCUGCCACAAUGGAAUUUGCCAUUUAUUAUUUCAAGGACAAGAGUGUGGAAGUUGGGAAGACUUCAUGGAUGAGUAUUGAAGACCAGCAACGAUGUCCAAAAUUAAUCACCCAGUGCCCUAAUCUAGAAGAUGACGGAUGGAUGAAGGUAAAGUGGGACACUGGCAGAAAAAAGUCAGACGGUCCAGCCUUUUUCCCAGCCAAGGUUUUGAUGUUUGGUGCCAGCUACAGUGAUCUGUGUAAGAAGAGGCAGGGAUUCAUAAAGGGUGAAGACAUCUGGCAAGAAUCACCCAAGAGGAAGAGUAAGCCGAACAACAAGUGGAAAGCUGUGGAAGAGGAGGAUCAAGAAGUUCCACCAAAAAAGAAGAAAAAAAGAGAAACAUGUUCAGCAGAAAAAGAGUCUGCAAACCUCAUGAUCGAAGAGCUGAAGAAGCAGCUUGCAGACAAAGCAUCUUCAGAGAUGAGGAGGAGAUGCCCAGAAACUGGAGUGUGGCGGUGCAGAAAAUGAAACGGCUUCAGAGAGAAAUCAAGAGCCUGAAAGAAGGCCAUGUGGAAGAAAUACUAGAUGCGAUGAGUGGCAUUUUCUGCACACUACCUUUUAAAGACUUUGGUGGUGUGCCUAUACUGAUUCCUGAAGUCAGACAAACUGACAACAAUCAAAGCUGGUUUUAUCUAAAUAGAAACAGAUAGAUAUAAUUACUGAAAAAUCUUCCCAAAUAAAAAGAAAUGACCAUUUAACUGAUAAUUCAAUAAAUAUACUGUGCAGCCUUGAACCAACGUAAUUUAAAACGGAUACUCCAAUAUUGAAGCACUGACAUCUGAAUAAUGAAAACAAAGAGACUCACAAAUCACACAGACAAACAACGGCUGCCAGGGAGAGCUGGGAUCUGCUGCCAAGUGUGGAAAAAGGCCCAUACCUGGCGACAAUCUUCUUUUUAUAGAGCUCCCAGCAGUGGUGACACAGCUAAAAUAAGUUAUUGAAAAAAUCACAGUACAGAGCUCAACUCCUGCAUCCACCUGAUCAACAUCCACAUCUGGAGACCCACCAUUUUCUCCACCCGGCUCUCCUCAAGUGUCUGACCCUAAUGAAAUGGUGCUUCUUGUGCCAGGCCAUGACGUCAAAGUACCAAGACGAAAGCUGAAGUCUCUGCGGACUACAAAUUCAGCAUUGUACAUUGGGGAUCUUGCGGUGCUCAUCUAUGGUAGAGAAACGCUGUCCAAUUCAAGUUUGACCGGGAGGCAGUCAGGGGCUCACAAAGAAGUGGAAUCAAAGCCACAACUGGAUAACACAAAGCUCGAUGCUAUACUUGUCCAUGUCCAGGCGAAGUUCCCUGACACCACCAUUCAAGAUGUGAGACGCAUCAUAAGAAAGAAAUGCAACAAUAUAAACUAU
ensembl:lncRNA